rnacentral:rRNA from 1 species
GGGUUUGAUCCUGGCUCAGAAUGAACGUUGGCGGCGUGGAUAAGGCAUGCAAGUCGAGCGGAAAGGCCCCUUCGGGGGUACUCGAGCGGCGUAAGGGAGAGUAAUGCAUGGAUCAUCUACCUCAAGGACUGGGAUAGCUACGGGAAACUGUAGGUAAUACCAGAUAAUGUCGAAAGACCAAAUGGUGCUUCCGCCUUGAGAUGAGUCCAUGUCCUAUUAGCUUGUUGGUGUGGUAAUGGCGCACCAAGGCUUCGAUGGGUACCGGGUGUGAGAGCAUGGCCCGGCUCACUGGGACUGAGACACUGCCCAGACACCUUCGGGUGGCUGCAGUCGAGAAUCUUCGGCAAUGGACGAAAGUCUGACCGAGCGACGCCGCGUGAGGGAUUGAAGGUCCUAUGGAUCGUAAACCUCUUUCGAUUGGGAUGAAAUGUAAGGGUUCACUCUUACUUGACAUAUCUUUGGAAGAAGGACGGGCUAAGUUCGUGCCAGCAGCCGCGGUAAGACGAACCGUCCAAACGUUAUUCGGAAUCACUGGGCUUAAAGGGUGCGUAGGCGGCUUCGUAAGUUGGGUGUGAAAUCCCACGGCUCAACCGUGGAACUGCGCUCAAAACUACGGAGCUAGAGGAAGAUAGAGGCAAGCGGAACUGAUGGUGGAGCGGCGGAAUGCGUUGAUAUCAUCAGGAACACCAGUUGCGAAAGCGGCUUGCUGGGUCUUUUCUGACGCUGAGGCACGAAAGCUAGGGUAGCGAACGGGAUUAGAUACCCCGGUAGUCCUAGCUGUAAACUAUCAGUACUUGGUCGUGGACUACUUCAUAGGUUCUCGGCCGUAGCGAAAGUGUUAAGUACUGCGCCUGGGGAGUAUGGUCGCAAGGCUGAAACUCAAAGGAAUUGACGGGGGCUCACACAAGCGGUGGAGGAUGUGGCUUAAUUCGAGUCUACGCGAAGAACCUUAUCCUAGAUUUGACAUGCAUUGGGAUCCUGGGGAAACUUGGGAGUGCCGCAAGGUAACCAUAGCACAGGUGCUGCAUGGCUGUCGUCAGCUCGUGUCGUGAGAUGUCGGGUUAAGUCCCUUAACGAGCGAAACCCUUAUUGUUAGUUGCCAGCGCGUAAUGGCGGGGACUCUAGCGAGACUGCCGGUGUUAAACCGGAGGAAGGUGGGGAUGACGUCAAGUCCUCAUGGCCUUUAUGUCUAGGGCUGCACACGUCCUACAAUGGCGUACACAAAGGGAAGCGAACCCGCGAGGGCAAGCAAAUCCCAGAAAAUGCGCCUCAGUUCGGAUUGCAGGCUGCAACUCGCCUGCAUGAAGCCGGAAUCGCUAGUAAUCGUAGGUCAGCAUACUACGGUGAAUGUGUUCCUGAGCCUUGUACACACCGCCCGUCAAGCCACGGAAGUAGGAGUCCGCGAAGUCGCCAAGCUAACCUUAGGGAGGCAGGCGCCGAACGGGAACAUAUCGACCGGGACUAAGUCGUAACAAGGUA